rnacentral:rRNA from 1 species
UACGAAGGGGGCUAGCGUUGCUCGGAAUCACUGGGCGUAAAGCGCACGUAGGCGGCUUUCUAAGUCAGGGGUGAAAUCCUGGAGCUCAACUCCAGAACUGCCUUUGAUACUGAGAGCUUGAGUCCGGGAGAGGUGAGUGGAACUGCGAGUGUAGAGGUGAAAUUCGUAGAUAUUCGCAAGAACACCAGUGGCGAAGGCGGACUCACCUGGCCCGGUACUGGACGCUGAGGUGCGA